rnacentral:rRNA from 1 species
GACGAACGCUGGCGGCGUGCCUAAUACAUGCAAGUCGAACGCAGUUGGGACGGGUGAGUAACACGUGGGUAACCUCCCAUCAGAGGGGAUAACACUUGGAAAAAGGUGCUAAACCGCUACUGAUGGAUGUACCAUGGGUGCAUUAGCUAGUUGGUGAGGUACCGGCUCACCAAGGCCACGAUGCAUAGCCGACCUGAGAGGAUGAUCGGCCACACUGGAACUGAGACACGGCCCAGACUCCUACGGGAGGCAGCAGUGGGGAAUAUUCGGCAAUGGACGAAAGUCUGACCGAGCAACGCCGCGUGAGUGAAGAAGGUUUUCGGAUCGUAAAACUCUGUUGGUAGAGAAGCGGUAUCUAACCAGAAAGCAACGGCUAACUACGUGCCAGCAGCCGCGGUAAUUC